rnacentral:lncRNA from 1 species
GGUGGACUUGGUGGCUUGUAAGGCGGUGCUGGAGUUGUUGGUGGCUUAACUGGAGGUGUAGGAACUGGGGGCUUAUAUGGGGGAGUUGGUGCUUUAGUUGGCGGUGCUGGUGCUGGAGUUGGUGCUUUGGUUGGGGGUGUUGGGGGCAUAUAUGGGGGAGUAGGGGCCUUGACUGGAGGUGCCGGUGCGGGAGUAGGGGGUUUAUAUGGGGGAGUAGGAGCCUUGGUUGGUGGUGCUGGUGCUGGGGGCUUAAAUGGUGGAGUUGGAGCCUUGGUUGGUGGUGCAGGAGCUGGGGGCUUAUAUGGUGGAGUAGGAGCCUUGGUUGGUGGUGCAGGAGCUGGGGGCUUAUAUGGUGGAGUAGGAGCCUUGGUUGGUGGUGCAGGAGCUGGGGGUUUAUAUGGUGGAGUAGGAGCCUUGGUUGGUGGUUUAUAUGGUGGAGUGGGGGCCUUGGUAG